rnacentral:lncRNA from 1 species
UUCCCUUUUGCUGGUGCACUUGCCUCUCCAGUUGUCUUUGCCAGGACAGCCACAUCCAUUGGGAAUGUGAUUUUUUUCCCCACUCGGCUGUGCUGGCAACACUUUUCAGUGUAAACCACGCCUAGGUAUGAAAUGGGAGAUAAGAGGUGUCCGGACAAACGGGAGAGCACAAGACAACGCAGAGAGACUGCCUGUCAGCAAGACGCACAGUGCAGCACACAGGAAGAUUUGCAAAGGCAAUCGGGCUGCUUUAGGUUUCAGCAGAGCAACGUUGGGUCAUCAUCACCCUUUUUUCACCCUCCUCACAGAGGAGCCCACCGUCCUGUGCAGGAGGUUGACAAGUGUGCUGGGCGCACGUGGCGUGUGGGUGCUCUCUGCCAACUCACCACCGACACAACAGUUUGAGAUGUUAGUGGUUCUGAUUCUGGAUUUGGAUCCACAUGAUGAACUCUCCAAGGCUCCAACCACAGAUCUGAUAGCAGGAUCAAGGUCCUGA